rnacentral:rRNA from 1 species
GAUGAACGCUGGCGGCGUGCCUAACACAUGCCAGUCGAGCGAACAGACGCGGCGCUUGCUCCUUUGUCGUUAGCCGCGGACGGGUGUGUAACACGUGGAUACCCUCCCUAUAAGACUGGGAUAACUUCGGGAAACCGGCGCUAAUACCGUAUAAUAUAUUGAACCGCAUGGUUCAAUAGUGAGAGACGGUGUUGCUGUCACGUAUAGAUGCAUCUGCGCCGCAUUAGCUAGUUGGUACGGUAACGGCUUACCAAGGCAACCAGGCGUAGCCGAGGUACGAGGGUGAUAGGCCACAUUGGAGCUGAGACACGGUCCAGACUCCUACGGGAGGCAGCAGAAGGGAAUCUGACGCAACGGGCGAAAGUCUGACGGAGCAACGCCGCGUGAGUGAUGAAGGCCUUCGGAGCGUAAAGCUCUGUUACUAGGGGAGAACCAAUGUGGCAGUAAAUGAAGCCGGCUUGACGGUAACGAGUAAGAAAGCACCGGCUAACUACGUG